rnacentral:rRNA from 1 species
AUUGAACGCUGGCGGCAUGCCUUACACAUGCAAGUCGAACGGUAACGGGCCUUCGGGUGCCGACGAGUGGCGAACGGGUGAGUAAUACAUCGGAACGUGCCCGAUCGCGGGGGAUAACGAGGCGAAAGCUUUGCUAAUACCGCAUACGAUCUACGGAUGAAAGCAGGGGACCGCAAGGCCGCGCGCGGACGGAGCGGCCGAUGGCAGAUUAGGUAGUUGGUGGGGUAAAGGCUUACCAAGCCGACGAUCUGUAGCUGGUCUGAGAGGAUGAUCAGCCACACUGGAACUGAGACACGGCCCAGACUCCUACGGGAGGCAGCAGUGGGGAAUUUUGGACAAUGGGCGCAAGCCUGAUCCAGCCAUGCCGCGUGCAGGAUGAAGGCCUUCGGGUUGUAAACUGCUUUUGUACGGAACGAAAAGCCUUCUUUUAAUACAGGAGGGUCAUGACGGUACCGUAAGAAUAAGCACCGGCUAACUACGUG